CCUACGGGAGGCAGUAGUGGGGAAUAUUGGGCAAUGGGCGCAAGCCUGACCCAGCAACGCCGCGUGAAGGAAGAAGGCUUUCGGGUUGUAAACUUCUUUUAAGGGGGAAGAGCAGAAGACGGUACCCCUUGAAUAAGCCACGGCUAACUACGUGCCAGCAGCCGCGGUAAUACGUAGGUGGCAAGCGUUGUCCAGAUUUACUGGGUGUAAAGGGCGUGCAGCCGGAGAGACAAGUCAGAUGUGAAAUCCACGGGCUCAACCCGUGAACUGCAUUUGAAACUGUUUCCCUUGAGUGUCGGAGAGGUAAUCGGAAUUCCUUGUGUAGCGGUGAAAUGCGUAGAUAUAAGGAAGAACACCAGUGGCGAAGGCGGAUUACUGGACGAUAACUGACGGUGAGGCGCGAAAGCGUGGGGAGCAAACAGGAUUAGAUACCCUUGUAGUC
rnacentral:rRNA from 1 species